UACGGAGGGUGCGAGCGUUGUCCGGAUUUAUUGGGUUUAAAGGGUGCGUAGGCGGCCUGUUAAGUCCGGGGUGAAAGCCCGUUGCUCAACAACGGAACUGCCCUGGAUACUGGCGGGCUUGAGUACAGGCGAGGUUGGCGGAAUGGACGGAGUAGCGGUGAAAUGCAUAGAUACCGUCCAGAACCCCGAUUGCGAAGGCAGCUGACUAGGCUGUAACUGACGCUGAGGCACGACAGCGUGGGGAGCGAACAGG
rnacentral:rRNA from 1 species